GCCGCAGUAGCUCAGUGGUAGAGCGCAUCAUUGGUAAUGAUGAGGUCGCGAGUUCAAUCCUCGCCUGUGGCACCA
rnacentral:tRNA from 2 species